AUUACGACUGAUCCGGCUGGUUCUCCAUGUGGAGACGAACAGGGAAUCCGGUGCGAAACCGGAGCGGACCCGCCGCUGUAACCCCGGCUUGCGCCAGACGUAAGCCGCCCCACGCGCCACUGUCCAACAGGGACGGGAAGGCGGGGCGAGUAACGGGGGAGCCAGAAGACCUGCCAGCCGAAGACCCCAGGC
rnacentral:ncRNA from 2 species